CCUACGGCGGGCAGCAGUGGGGAAUAUUGGACAAUGGGCGAAAGCCUGAUCCAGCCAUGCCGCGUGUGUGAAGAAGGCCUUCGGGUUGUAAAGCACUUUCAGUGGGGAAGAAAGCCUUGGGGCUAAUACCCUCGAGGAAGGACAUCACCCACAGAAGAAGCACCGGCUAACUCCGUGCCAGCAGCCGCGGUAAUACGGAGGGUGCGAGCGUUAAUCGGAAUUACUGGGCGUAAAGCGCGCGUAGGCGGUCUGAUAAGCCGGUUGUGAAAGCCCCGGGCUCAACCUGGGAACGGCAUCCGGAACUGUCAGGCUAGAGUGCAGGAGAGGAAGGUAGAAUUCCCGGUGUAGCAGUGAAAUGCGUAGAGAUCGGGAGGAAUACCAGUGGCGAAGGCGGCCUUCUGGACUGACACUGACGCUGAGGUGCGAAAGCGUGGGUAGCAAACAGGAUUAGAUACCCGAGUAGUC
rnacentral:rRNA from 1 species